GACGAACGCUGGCGGCGUGCUUAACACAUGCAAGUCGAGCGGUAAGGCCCUUUCGGGGGUACACGAGCGGCGAACGGGUGAGUAACACGUGGGUGACCUGCCCUCAGCUCUGGGAUAAGCCUGGGAAACUGGGUCUAAUACCGGAUAUGACUCCAUGACGCAUGUUGUGGGGUGGAAAGCCUUGUGCGGCUGAGGAUGGGCCCGCGGCCUAUCAGCUUGUUGGUGGGGUGANGGCCUACCAAGGCGACGACGGGUAGCCGGCCUGAGAGGGCGACCGGCCACACUGGGACUGAGACACGGCCCAGACUCCUACGGGAGGCAGCAGUGGGGAAUCUUGCGC
rnacentral:rRNA from 1 species